rnacentral:rRNA from 1 species
UACGGAGGGGGCUAGCGUUGUUCGGAAUUACUGGGCGUAAAGAGCGUGUAGGCGGCCAGGUAGGUCCGUUGUGAAAACUCGAGGCUCAACCUCGAGACGUCGAUGGAAACCAUCUGGCUAGAGUCCGGAAGAGGAGAGUGGAAUUCCUGGUGUAGCGGUGAAAUGCGCAGAUAUCAGGGGGAACACCGGUGGCGAAGGCGGGUCUCUGGUACGUGACUGACGCUGAGACGCGAAAGCGUGGGGAGCGAACAGG